rnacentral:rRNA from 1 species
UCAGGCCUAACACAUGCAAGUCGAACGGGUGUAGCAAUACAUUAGUGGCGCACGGGUGAGUAAUGCAUGGGAGAUCUGCCGAGUAGAGAUGGAUAGCUUCUGGAAACGGAAGGUAAUACGUCGUAAGCAGUAUUGUAGAGAGACAGUACUGGAAAGGAGGGGACCGUAAGGCCUUCCGCUAUUUGAUGAGCCCAUGUCCCAUUAGCUAGUUGGUAGGGUAAGAGCCUACCAAGGCGAAGAUGGGUAGCUGGUCUGAGAGGAUGAUCAGCCACACUGGAACUGAGACACGGUCCAGACUCCUACGGGAGGCAGCAGUGGGGAAUAUUGCGCAAUGGGCGAAAGCCUGACGCAGCAAGCGCCGCGUGAGUGAAGAAGGCCUUUGGGUUGUAAAGCUAUUGCGGCCGGGAAGAAGGGUGAUGGGACGAAUAAUCUUGUCAUUUGAUG